rnacentral:rRNA from 1 species
GCUGGCGGCGUGCCUAUACAUGCAGUCGAACGCUUCUUUCCUCCCGAGUGCUUGCACUCAAUUGGAAAGAGGAGUGGCGGACGGGUGAGUAACACGUGGGUAACCUACCCAUCAGAGGGGGAUAACACUUGGAAACAGGUGCUAAUACCGCAUAACAGUUUAUGCCGCAUGGCAUAAGAGUGAAAGGCGCUUUCGGGUGUCGCUGAUGGAUGGACCCGCGGUGCAUUAGCUAGUUGGUGAGGUAACGGCUCACCAAGGCCACGAUGCAUAGCCGACCUGAGAGGGUGAUCGGCCACACUGGGACUGAGACACGGCCCAGA